UACGUAGGGUGCGAGCGUUGUCCGGAAUUAUUGGGCGUAAAGAGCUUGUAGGCGGUUUGUCGCGUCUGCUGUGAAAAUCCGGGGCUCAACCCCGGACUUGCAGUGGGUACGGGCAGACUAGAGUGUGGUAGGGGAGACUGGAAUUCCUGGUGUAGCGGUGGAAUGCGCAGAUAUCAGGAGGAACACCGGUGGCGAAGGCGGGAUCCUGGGCCAGUACUGACGCUGAUGAGCGAAAGCGUGGGGAGCAAACAGG
rnacentral:rRNA from 1 species